rnacentral:rRNA from 1 species
AUUCGCCCUUAGAGUUUGAUCCUGGCUCAGGAUGAACGCUGGCGGCAUGCCUAAGACAUGCAAGUCGAACGAGGUGGCCCAAAGAAGAUUGAGUGCUUGCACAAGAUUGGACUUGGAUUACCACCUAGUGGCGGACGGGUGAGUAACACGUAGGUGACCUGCCUUUGAGUUUGGGAUAACUAUUAGAAAUGAUAGCUAAUACCGAAUUAAAUGCAGAUUCGUUUCUGUAUUAAAAGGAGCCUUUAAAGCUUCGCUUAAAGAUGGGCCUGCGGCGUAUUAGCUAGUUGGUGAGGUAAUGGCUUACCAAGGCGACGAUGCGUAGCCGAACUGAGAGGUUGAUCGGCCACAUUGGGACUGAGACACGGCCCAAACUCCUACGGGAGACAGCAGUUAGGAAUAUUCGUCAAUGGGGGAAACCCUGAACGAGCAAUGCCGCGUGAACGAUGAAGGCCCUAUGGGUUGUAAAGUUCUGUUGCAUGGGACGAACGAUUAGGAUAGGAAAUGAUCUUAAUGUGACGGUACCAUGCCAGAAAGCUCCGGCUAACUACGUGCCAGCAGCCGCGGUAAUACGUAGGGAGCAAGCGUUAUCCGGAUUUAUUGGGCGUAAAGGGUGCGUAGGCGGUUUGUUAAGUAUGAGAUUAAAGCCCGAGGCUUAACCUCGGUUCGUUUCAUAAACUGGCAGGCUUGAGUGUGGCAGAGGUAAACGGAAUUUCUAGUGUAGCGGUUAAAUGCGUAGAUAUUAGAAGGAACACCAGUGGCGAAGGCGGUUUACUGGGCCAUAACUGACGCUGAGGCACGAAAGCGUGGGGAGCAAAUAGGAUUAGAUACCCUAGUAGUCCACGCCGUAAACGAUGAGUACUAAGUGUUGGGGCAACCCAGUGCUGAAGUUAACACAUUAAGUACUCCGCCUGAGUAGUACGGUCGCAAGGCUGAAAC